AGUGAGCGCUGGCGGUAGGCCUAACACAUGCAAAUCGAACGGCAGCACAGGAGAGCUUGCUCUCUGGGUGGCGAGUGGCGGACGGGUGAGGAAUACAUCGGAAUCUACUCUGUCGCGGGGGAUAACGUAGGGAAACUUACGCUAAUACCGCAUACGACCUACGGGUGAAAGCAGGGGACCUUCGGGCCUGGCGCGAUUGAAUGAGCCGAUUUCGGAUUAGCUAGUUUGCGGGGUAAAGGCCCACCAAGGCGACGAUCCGUAGCUGGCCUGAGAGGAGGAUCAGCCACACUGGAACUGAGACACGGUCCAGACUCCUACGGGAGGCAGCAGUGGGGAAUAUUGGACAAUGGGCGCAAGCCUGAUCCAGCCAUACCGCGUGGGUGAAGAAGGCCUUCGGGUUGUAAAGCCCUUUUGUUGGGAAAGAAAUCCAGCUGGCUAAUACCCGGUUGGGAUGACGGUACCCAAAGAAUAAGCACCGGCUAACUUCGUGCCAGCCGCCGCCGUAA
rnacentral:rRNA from 1 species